rnacentral:rRNA from 1 species
AGCGAACGCUGGCGGCAGGCCUAACACAUGCAAGUCGAACGAAGUGGCGGACGGGUGAGUAACACGUGGGAACGUGCCUUUAGGUUCGGAAUAACUCUGGGAAACUUGUGCUAAUACCGAAUGCCUUUAGAGCGGCCCGCGUCUGAUUAGAUAGUUGGUGAGGUAAUGGCUCACCAAGGCGUCGAUCAGUAGCUGGUCUGAGAGGAUGGUCAGCCACAUUGGGGCUGAGACACGGCCCAAACUCCUACGGGAGGCAGCAGAGGGGGAUCUUGCUCAAUGGGGGAAAGCCUGACGCUGCCAUGCCGCGAGAAUGAUGAAGGUCGUAAGAUUGUAAAGUUCUUUCACCGGGGACGCGGUACCCGAAGAAGAAGCCCCGGCUAACUUCGUGCCAGCAGCCGCGGUAAUUC